rnacentral:lncRNA from 1 species
CCUUGCUCUUCCAACUGUCAUUCUGGUCCUGCCAGUCAACUUUAGAAUUCCAAAAUCCUCCAACUCCAUCUUAACAAGGGGAAGAAUAUUAUUAUUAGAAGGAGAGGAAGAGAGUGCUAAAAGUCCUAUGAUAACCCAGAUCUUCUCCAUUGUCAGAAUCAUGCCCAAAUUCAUACCUGUUGUAUUCUUCUGGAUCAGCACCUUCAGUUUGAUCUUCACAAUGAAGACCAUCAUAAGCCUCUUCCUCCUUUCCUUUGUCUUGACUGUCAACAGUCAGAAUGAAGCUAGAAAGUGGUUUGGUGAAGGUGUUAAGGAAGUGUGUUCGUUUAUCUGUGAGGUGGAUUCUGUUAAUGAUUUACCUCCUGGUGGAAAUGAUGCAACCGGGUAUGAAUUUGGUCAUGUUUCUAACAGUGGAGCAAAUCUGGGUUAUCUUGGCAUCCCUUCAAAUUGAGAAUGUUUACUAUGGAUAAUACAGAUAAAAUUUGCCUGUGUACUUCCAAAAGUGGCUAUUGCCAGAUCCCAGGCAGGACCUUCAGUUUGUUAGUCCGACAAAGAGAAGUAAGAUUUGGUAUGUUGUUAGUACUAAUACGGUAUCCAUUUCCUAAAUGAUAAGAAUAUCUAAGGGAGAAUUUCUUCUUUUCAUUUUUUUUUUGUUUUCCUAAAUUUGAUAGCAACACACUUGAACAUUUCCAAU